rnacentral:lncRNA from 1 species
CAGAGCUAUUGGAGGGGGUAAAAAAAGGAAGGAAGGAAGGAAGGAAGGAAGGAAGGAAGGAAGGAAGGAAGGAAAGAAAGAAAGAAGAAAGAAGAAAAGAAAGAAAGAAAGAAAGAAAGAAAGAAAGAAAGAAAGAAAGAGAGAAAGGAGAUGAUUUAGAGCCUGGAUUUCUCAUUUGUCAUUUAUAGCAUGUCUUUGGGAUAGAAGGACUGGGGGGUCCCCCCUUGUCCCCCGAGAACCCACUCCUAUCUGUCAGAGAAUACUAAUUCAUCCCCAGUUUCCAAGGAUUUCAACUAGCUGGUUUGGCCUCUUGGCCUCUCCUAGGGAAGUGGAUAGAGGUGCCAUGUCUCCCUGCAGUUCGGUGCUAGAAUUGCAGGAACAGACUCCUAGGGGCAGUGACUUAACCCACCGCACUGCCAAGUUUUGAAAUCCUGGCUCACUGUGAUCUGUCCCAUCUAUCCCAGCUUGUUCUACCCAGCACCCAGAACACAGGUCAUCUCUAGCCACCCAUGACCCCUGCCAUAGUCAAGGUGGCCACAGCCUACAAGCUCCUGGGAGUAAAGGAAAGUCUGCCACCCAGUAGCCUUCUACUGUUUCCAGUGUUAAGACUCCGUCAACUUGUUGCCAGCAAAAUGCUCUUCCUCUUUCUUCCUUUUGCAGAUGCUCAAAAGGGCCUUUUGUAGAUGCUCAAGCUGCAAGACAAAGAAAAGAGACACUCUGGACCGGAGAAGGAACACCCCGUCUAGACUUCUUCCUGAGCCAGUUAGGACUCACCUGGGCCAAGUCCCCUUAACUGGUCUGACCUCUGUCAGAUGGAUCCUAAUCUGUCAAAUUGGCAUCACAACCAGGAAGCAUGUGGCGACCUCUUAG